UAUAAAUGCCCCUCUUUGCUCUUCAUUCUC
rnacentral:piRNA from 1 species